GCCGGGCGCGGUGGCGCGCGCCUGUAGUCCUAGCUACUCGGGAGGCUGAGGCAGGAGGAUUGCUUGAGUCCAGGAGUUCUGGGCUGCAGUGCGCUAUGCCGAUCGGGUGUCCGCACUAAGUUCGGCAUCAAUAUGGUGACCUCCUGGGAGCGGGGGACCACCAGAUUGCCUAAGGAGGGGUGAACCGACCCAGGUCGGAGAACUACAAAAAAUUAGAAAUCUAGAAGUAACUUUCACCAAUGAAGUGAAAGAGCUCUACAAAGAAAAUUACAAAAAAAUCAAU
rnacentral:sRNA from 1 species